AAAUGGCCUAUAAAAUACUUGUCAUUCAGUGGCUAAUGGUUUUUUAUAAGUAGUCCUUCAGGGUGUUACUGAGUCAGUUUAUUGACACCAUAAAUGCUUUAUGUUUAAUAAUUAUAGACAAUAAAGAUACUAAAACACUGAAUAUCAUAGACUUGCUAAAGGCUUUCAAUGUUUCACAGUUGAUGUGUUUAUAUAAGUUUGUAGCUCUUUUAAUUAUAUUUAAAGAUGGUAGAAGUGAUGGUCAGCUAUUUAUAAUUGGCAGGAAUAACAAACGUCUUUCACCAAUGUUUUCAAGGUGGCCUUAGACAU
rnacentral:lncRNA from 1 species